UAAGCCUUGGCAUCAUAUCACCGAACAGAAGCAGGUCCACAGUACACCGACCUCAGACCAUGCAGCUGUGACUGGGCCAGAUCAAGACAAAAAAGACCUCUUCACAGUUUAAAAUCUGAAAUCAUCCAAACUGCAAAUGUGACCAAACACAUCUCUCCCCGUAGUGGCCAGUUUAAGAGGACUGCCUUUUUAAAAUUAAUUGUAACGGUGGGCUUGCUUCAUCCUACCUGCUUUUUUAGGUUUCCAUUAGGAAUUUCUCGAAUCUGUUGUAUCCAUCAGGAAUGCCAGGUCUCGUGGAUCAGUGUGACACUUGACGUAUGAAUAAGAUGAGAAUAUCCUGCACUGCAUCACUUCGCAAAGGGUGAGGAAUUAAAUUCAUCAUCAAGAGGGAUCUCCAUUUUAAGAAUGAACAAUAAAAUUUAAAAUCCGAGUCAAGAAUUGCUGAAUACGUAGAAUGAAGGUGGGGAGAAGUUGACUCGGCUGUGCUCAGGCCUCAGGAACCUUUUACCUGCCGGAAGCUGUCAUUUUAUCAGACGUGAUGGGAAGACCACACUGCAGGCCCUCAGUGACUGGCAAGGCCCCACAGGAAGAUGGGCCAUGAGUGGGAGGUGCUGGAGCAAGAACAAGGAGCCAGCAGAUGCGCGCCCCCUCUGGCUGUGAGCCUCCUCCCGUCCCUGCCCGCCCCCCGGACCCCGCAGCAUCCCGCGGCUUGGAUUCUGCUUUUCUUAUAGGUACUCAGUUGACACUGGAGAUACUUGAGGACUCAGCGUUUGUCACAUUCUGGAUAGAGCUGCCCAGUUGGAACAAGCACAGCACCCGGGUUCGGGGCACAGAUCCUAGCCAGGCGGCCGCAGGGAAGAGCUGCUUGCUUACCUCAGGGAGAACUCAAGGAGGAAGAAGACAACAUCGGCUGGUGAUUCCUGCCCACCACUGCUUUUUCAUCAUCAGCGCAAAUGUCAGAACAGCGAAAAAGGGGGCAAAUGUCUCAGUGUUACUUACCAUGGAGAUGCUCUUUGCCUAAUGGACCCUCUGACAGCACCGCAGAAGCUCCUCCACCACGAAUCCAUGGGCUGCUCUUUGGGAAUCACUGUUCUACACCAUGAAAUUAAUCAUCCUCCUCUGCUUCUAUGAAUCUUAACAAUUCUUGAUCACCAUCUCUCUCUCAAACCCUCUGUGGAAGGUAAAAGCCUGUUUAUAAUUGGAAAGCAGGAUAUAAACACACAUUAGUAAAGUUUCAUUACACAACAAACAGUAACAACCUGGCUUACCUUAGGAGAAGACAUCUUGUAAUAGGGGCCAGAGAGGUUUUACUGAGUUGAGCUGGAUGAUUAAUAGUAUCUGCAUCAAGGUCCACCAGUUGCAGUGUUCUUGCAAGUUCAAAAAUCCUCUCGAUUUCACUCUGAACUUCCGCUGUAAAAGAUUAUUCAGACCAGAUUGAGAUAAAAGUAAAAUGCUACUCCUGGAGGUGAGCCAUUAGGUUGAUGUCCACAGGUAAGAGAGCUGAGAACAGGCAUCAAGGGAAAAAGCCAUUUCUUCACAACACCUCUAGAAUUUAGAGAAUUCCUAUCAGCUAUAAGAUUUAGUUCUAAUAUAACAUACAAUCUGAGAGUCAACUUUUUUGGCUCUCUCUCUGCUGACUUGUGUUUGGUGCUAUAAAACUUCAGUCUAUAAAGUCAUUCCAUGAAAAUGUUGUAAAAUAGAAACUUGAAGAGC
rnacentral:lncRNA from 1 species